AGAGUUUGAUCCUGGCUCAGAACGAACGCUGGCGGCGUGGAUAAGACAUGCAAGUCGAACGCUGAUUUCAGGGUAGCAAUAUUCUGGAGUCGGAGUGGCGCAAGGGUGCGUAACACGUGGGUAAUUUGCCGUAAAGCCUGGAAUAACUCGCUGAAAGGCGAGCUAAUGCCGGAUGUGAUGUUUGGGAGGCAUCUCCUGAACCUUAAAGCUGGGGACCGUAAGGCCUGGCACUUUUCGAUAAGCCCGCGGCCUAUCAGCUAGUUGGUGAGGUAACGGCUCACCAAGGCUAAGACGGGUAGCUGGUCUGAGAGGACGACCAGCCACACUGGAACUGAGACACGGUCCAGACACCUACGGGUGGCAGCAGUCGAGAAUUUUUCACAAUGGGCGAAAGCCUGAUGGAGCGACGCCGCGUGGGGGAUGAAUGGCUUCGGCCCGUAAACCCCUGUCAUUUGCGAUCAAACCGCGUUGUUUAAGAGAUGACGCGCUGAUAGUAGCGAAAGAGAAGA
rnacentral:rRNA from 1 species